rnacentral:rRNA from 1 species
AGUGAACGCUGGCGGUAGGCCUAACACAUGCAAGUCGAACGGCAGCACAGUAAGAGCUUGCUCUUACGGGUGGCGAGUGGCGGACGGGUGAGGAAUACAUCGUAAUCUACUUUUUCGUGGGGGAUAACGUAGGGAAACUUACGCUAAUACCGCAUACGCCCUACGGGUGAAAGCAGGGGAUCUUUGGACCUUGUGCGAUUGAAUGAGCCGAUGUCGGAUUAGCUAGUUGGCGGGGUAAAGGCCCACCAAGGCGACGAUCCGUAGCUGGUCUGAGAGGAUGAUCAGCCACACUGGAACUGAGACACGGUCCAGACUCCUACGAGAGGCAGCAGUGGGGAAUAUUGGACAAUGGGCGCAAGCCUGAUCCAGCCAUACCGCGUGGGUGAAGAAGGCCUUCGGGUUGUAAAGCCCUUUUGUUGGGAAAGAAAAGCAGCAGGUUAAUACCCCGCUGUUCUGACGGUACCCAAAGAAUAAGCUCCGGCUAACUUCGUG